rnacentral:rRNA from 1 species
UACGUAGGGUGCGAGCGUUGUUCGGAAUUACUGGGCGUAAAGGGCGCGUAGGCGGCCUGCUAAGUCAUACGUGAAAUCCCUCGGCUCAACCGGGGAACUGCGUGUGAUACUGGCGGGCUUGAAUUCGGGAGAGGGAUGCGGAAUUCCAGGUGUAGCGGUGAAAUGCGUAGAUAUCUGGAGGAACACCGGUGGCGAAGGCGGCAUCCUGGACCGAGAUUGACGCUGAUGCGCGAAAGCCAGGGGAGCAAACGGG